GAUGAAGAACGUAGCGAAAUGCGAUACGUAAAGUGAAUUGCAGAAUUCAGUGAAUCAUCGAAUCUUUGAACGCACAUUGCGCCCGCCAGUAUUCUGGCGGGCAUGCCUGUUCGAGCGUCAUUUCAACCAUCAAGCCCCAGGCUUGUGUUGGGGACCUGCGGCUGCCGCAGGCCCUGAAAACCAGUGGCGGGCUCGCUGUCACACCGGGCGUAGUAGAUUUUAUCUCGCUCAGGGCGUGCUGCGGGUUCCGGCCGUUAAAAAGCCUUUUUUACCCAAGGUUGACCUCGGAUCAGGUAGGAAGACCCGCUGAACUUAAGCAUAUCAAUAAGCGGAGGA
rnacentral:misc_RNA from 1 species